AGUCGGACGUUUAACCGACUAAGCCACCAGGCGCCCCUGAAAUUUCUAGUGGAUAUGGAGAAAUACUUGGAAACAACAAUGCAUCUGGAAAAUCAGAACUGGGGUACUGUCAGAUACCAAGGGGUAGGACAGAAGACAUAGCUACCCUCAUAACCCAAUAUAAGCUUGGUCAGAAUAACUGGACAGUACAGGAGGAUCUGGCAAGUGGAGUCUCCCGGACUCCACUGAACUGCUUCUAAACUCUGCUCAAAUCUUCAUGCUAACACCAGGACUCUUAGUAUAAGCAGCAAUGACUUGAGCAUACGGUUAUGCAUAAUUAAGUAUAACUUCAGCUGCAUGGGGGUAAAUAGAGGCUUUCUGUUUUUGAAUUCAGAACAUUGCCUUCUAUGAACAUUCAAGUGAUGCAGAGGAUUCCUCCCAAAUUGGAAGAAUGUUCAAAUGUUGAUGGUUAAAAACCAGACAUAUAUACAUUACGGUAGCUUUCUAUAUUUUUGUCACUAUUUUAGAUUUUAGCCUAGGGAAAUGGAAACACAUUUGUACUAUUUUUAUCUGCUAUCAUCCUGGUUCCUAGGAAAAUGUAUGCAUAGAUUUGGAGGCCUAGUUAAUAAACAUUAUCAGGCUGAGAUCAAAACACCUUUGGAAGACCUACAUGAGCUAUACAGGAUCAGAUGAAGGGCUCUAUGUCAUUGCUAAAGCUUAAUGGACAAAAUAGGAUGUUGACAAGGCUCUUGAGACCCAACCUGGGCCGCCCCAUCACUGAGGAAAAAUAAUCUGCAUCUGAGGAACACGAAACUGCUGGAAACCCCUUGGCAUGUAGAAGGUGUCUGGUCUGGAAGCUCGGGCUUAAGCGUGGUGUCAGGCAAUUCACAAACAGGUUGGGGAAAGCUUUGUCAGUAUGCUCUUUUCUCUCCACAACAUAGUCCCGGGCAAGUUAUAAUCUUUCAGUGAAUAACAUGAGACUAGAUACAUACUUACGUGCUUAUAAAUACAUAAAAAAUAAAAUAAAAUAAAAAUUAAAACUGACAAUCCA